rnacentral:rRNA from 1 species
GAACAACUCUCAGCAACGGAUAUCUCGGCUCUUGCAUCGAUGAAGAACGCAGCGAAAUGCGAUAAGUGGUGUGAAUUGCAGAAUCCCGUGAACCAUCGAGUCUUUGAACGCAAGUUGCGCCCGAGGCCAUCAGGCCAAGGGCACGCCUGCCUGGGCAUUGCGA